rnacentral:rRNA from 1 species
CAGUAGCCGCGGGAAUACGUAGGGUGCAAGCGUUAAUCGGAAUUACUGGGCGUAAAGCGUGCGCAGGCGGUUAUAUAAGACAGAUGUGAAAUCCCCGGGCUCAACCUGGGAACUGCAUUUGUGACUGUAUAGCUAGAGUACGGCAGAGGGGGAUGGAAUUCCGCGUGUAGCAGUGAAAUGCGUAGAUAUGCGGAGGAACACCGAUGGCGAAGGCAAUCCCCUGGGACUGUACUGACGCUCAUGCACGAAAGCGUGGGGAGCAAACAGGAUUAGAUACCCGAGUAGUCCCUGUCUCUUAUAC